rnacentral:rRNA from 1 species
UACGUAGGGUGCAAGCGUUGUCCGGAAUUAUUGGGCGUAAAGAGCUCGUAGGCGGUCUGUUGCGUCGGCUGUGAAAACCCGGGGGCUCAACUCCGGGCCUGCAGCCGAUACGGGCAGACUAGAGUUCGGCAGGGGAGACUGGAAUUCCUGGUGUAGCGGUGAAAUGCGCAGAUAUCAGGAGGAACACCGGUGGCGAAGGCGGGUCUCUGGGCAGUAACUGACGCUGAGGAGCGAAAGCGUGGGGAGCGAACAGG